rnacentral:rRNA from 1 species
AACCUUUAUGUUAGACCUCAAAUCAGGUAGGACUACCCGCUGAACUUAAGCAUAUCAAUAAGCGGAGGA